CAGCUCCACACACUUGGGCCGGAUGGAAUCCACCGCAUAGUGGUUGCUCUGGAUUAACUGGUCACCAUGCAGAGCAUGCAGCUGUGCCUUCUCCAGAGAUUCCUGUCGAAUGCAUCACAUGUUGUAGCUGCUGGGAUGGAUCAAACCCGGAUCUUUGGCUCGUCUGCCAGCAAUGAUGCAAAUCUAACCCAAAUUAGACAGGCUCUUCAGUUCAGUUAGCAGCUGCUCAAUGCGACCAGGCCCGUCUCCGGUGUCUGAAAGUGCCAGCAAAGUCUCCAUCAAGCUGUCCAGAGACAUUUUCACCUUCACAAACACAGACACACAAAAACAUAUAGCAGAAGGAUGUCAGACACACCAUAAAAUAAAUAAAUGUAUGUUAAAAAUAAACACUCUGAGACAUGAGGUAUUGAUACGUUACCUCUC